rnacentral:tRNA from 1 species
GCCGGUGUAGCUCAGUUGGUAGAGCAGCUCACUUGUAAUGAGAAGGUCGCAAGUUCGAAUCCUGUCUCCGGCACC